UGCAUCUAGAUUAGAGUUUGAUCCUGGCUCAGGAUGAACGCUAGCGGCAGGCUUAAUACAUGCAAGUCGAGGGGCAGCGGGAGUAGCAAUACUUGCCGGCGACCGGCGCACGGGUGCGUAACACGUAUACAAUCUGCCUCUUACAGGGGGAUAGCCCGGAGAAAUCCGGAUUAAUACCCCAUAACAAUAGAAUUAGCAUUAAUUUUAUUUGAAAGCUCCGGCGGUAAGAGAUGAGUAUGCGACUGAUUAGCUAGUUGGAGAGGUAACGGCUCCCCAAGGCGACGAUCAGUAGGGGAUCUGAGAGGACUACCCCCCACACUGGUACUGAGACACGGACCAGACUCCUACGGGAGGCAGCAGUAAGGAAUAUUGGACAAUGCCCGCAAGGGUGAUCCAGCCAUGCCGCGUGCAGGAAGAAGGCCCUAUGGGUCGUAAACUGCUUUUGAACAGGAGGAAACCCUCCGACGUGUCGGAGGCUGAUAGUAUUGUUAGAAUAAGCAUCGGCUAACUUCGUGCCAGCAGCCGCGGUAAGACGAAGGAUGCAAGCGUUAUCCGGAUCCAUUGGGUUUAAAGGGUGCGUAGGCGGCCUUGUAAGUCAGUGGUGAAAUCUUCUCGCUUACGAGAAAACUGCCAUUGAUACUGCUAGGCUUGAGUACAGAUGCUGUGGGCGGAAUAUGACAUGUAGUGGUGAAAUACAUAGAGAUGUCAUAGAACACCGAUUGCGAAGGCAGCUCACAAAGCUGUAACUGACGCUGAGGCACGAAAGUGCGGGGAUCAAACAGGAUUAGAUACCCUGGUAGUCCGCACCGUAAACGAUGAUUACUCGCUGUUAGGAGGUAGCUCUUAGUGGCUUAGCGAAAGCGAUAAGUAAUCCACCUGGGGAGUACGCCGGCACGGUGAAACUCAAAGGAUUGACGGGGCCCGCA
rnacentral:rRNA from 1 species